rnacentral:rRNA from 1 species
CAGUCGCCACGGUAAUACGAGGGGGGCAAGCGUUGUUCGGAAUUAUUGGGCGUAAAGGGCGCGUAAGCGGUUUGUACAGUUGGGUGUGAAAUUCCUGGGCUUAACCUGGGGGCUGCACCCAAUACGUGCAUGCUUGAGUGUGGAAGAGGGUCGUGGAAUUCCCAGUGUAGAGGUGAAAUUCGUAGAUAUUGGAAAGAACACCGGUGGCGAAGGCGGCGACCUGGUCUUUAACUGACGCUGAGGCGCGAAAGCGUGGGGAGCAAACAGGAUUAGAGACCCCGGUAGUCCCUGUCUCUUAUAC